UUUUUUAGGUAAAAUGCCACAAAAUUUGUUACCUAAAUUUCCCAUUUCUCCCUUUUUUGUUACCCGCUCAUUACUCCCUCUCCUUCUCAUCUUCGUCGCGCCCUAAUUUGCCCCCAAAUUUCCCAUUUCCAGCAACACAAGUCAAUACACCUACACCAGUCACACUUCUUUUUCCUUUUCAUUUCUUCAAAGGUAGUAGUAGAAAGGGGAGUUCUAGGAAAUCUGGUCGAGAUUCGGCUGAGAAGAAAGAGCCAAUGCUCAUGCUAGGGUUUUGUUGAUUGUUUGAUUUUUAUUGUUUUGUUUAUGUGCUUUUACAGAUUUUAAUCUGAAGAAAUCUUAGCUCCGCUUUUACAACAAUGGAGCGCAAGACUAUUGAACUAGAUCAGCGAUGGGAUUAUACGAAGAUUUUGUUUUUAUAAGAGUAUAAUAAUUGUGCUCAAGUCGUCAAAUUCAUAUUUUGCGGUGGGUAUUGUAUAGAUUAUUAUUUAAGGAUUGGCUCGGUUCCGAUUUCAUCACCAUUUUCAUAUCUCAAAUGAUCUCUCUGUAACCGCUUGCUGUUAAAUUUUAUAGAAGACACGUCCGCCAUUACUUUCCCUUCAUAUUUGGUUUAAUAUAUUGAUAGUUGGAAACUAAAAACAAAAUGGGAAGGAUAUUCAUGAUCACUCUUGAAGGACGCGCUUACAGCUGCAAGCACUGCUUUACCCAUCUGGCUCUCCUUGACGACAUUAUUUCUAAGUCUUUCCACUGCGGGCAUGGAAGGCUUAUCUCUUUGAUAAGGUGUAAGUAUUUCAUUGCUAUGCACUCUUUUUUUUUUUCCUCCAUGGAGUGUUCUCUAAAAAUAGUCUUAUCUAUUUUAAAACCAUGCUCAUGAUUUCACUUUCUAUGCAUUCCAAUGUGUUUGGAAGAAACAAAGAAGUGUUUGGAAUAAAUAAAUAAAUGUUGUCAGCAUGUUAGCACCACAGUUCAAUGGUUAUAUACUUAAAAAGAAGAUUCAUAAUAAUUAAUUAAUUUACAUCAUCAAGUGGAUUAUUGUUUUUAAGUUUUUUAUUACAAUAACUAUUCAUGUCUUGGUGUUAUCUAAACCAUUAGGGUUGCUGUCAAAGAAUCUUCUUACAUUCACACUUUGAAUUUUUAUGAUAUUUAUCUUCAAAAGUUGGCAAAUUACAUCAUUUGCUAUUUUUUAAUGAAUGCAAGUUUCAAAAUUCGAAUGAGUUUUGAGCCAUUUUUCGAGUAUGGUUACUUUUUUUUAAUUUCUAAUCUAAAUUGAUUCCAAAUUAAAUUUGGAUGGUUAAUUAUGUAUUAUUUGUACUGCAAUUUAUAGUUGUAAUAUAUAUAUAUUUUAAUUUGAAAAACAUUUUGUCCUGAUUAAUAGUCAGAAUUUGUCUCCUCAAAUAGCAGCACCGUAUAUCAUUUUAAAUUAGUUUUAAUUCUUGCAGAUUUUAAAAUGGAGUAACCUAUAAGCUUUGAUUUGCAUGAUGUAAGACAAAAUUAAUAUAGAAAGGUUCAACCAUAUCCACUUUUGGAAUUAUUACUAACCUGUUGUUAAUUUAUAGGCUCUAAAGGCAUAAUAUACAUCAGUUUAGUUAAAGUUUUAGAAAUAUAAUUAUCUACCCGCCUUUGUUACUACUGAAGGUACAGCCUUGGUUUAACAGGCAGAAGAUGCUGUGAGUAACUAUGGUGGAUACGUUUAUUGGUUUUUUUUUUCUUUGCUAAACUAAGUCAUGAAGGUUCUUCUUGGAUAGCAAUUUAUUGAGGGGGUGAAAUAUUUUUCUUAAACUAACAAAAUGGGUGCAAAGUAGUAUUUAAGCAUUUCAAGCUGGCAAGGUGUUUAUUUAUCAUCAUUAUUGUUGUGCUUGUGCAGUUCUCCUAACUGUUAAGUUUGAUAUGCCUUUGAUGCACCAACUACUUUAGACUAUGAUUUUCCCAACCCUUGAUGGAAUAGAUGAUAAUCUGCAUAAUUUAAUUGUUUCUAAUAUUAACCUUCUGGUUCUAAGUGCUGAUAUUCACUCAUUUACACUGGCUUCAAAUGCUCCGGGUGUGCAGGAACAGGUAAACAUCCCAACUUUUACAGCUAUGGAUUUUCUUGAAAUCACUAUGGAUGUUGAUUAUCUUCUACUCAUCAGGUCCUUAUAAGGAAAAUAAUCAAGCUGCACGACAAGUAUAUGGCAUAUGUGACCGACUGUUUUCAAAACCAUACUCUCUUCCACAAGCUGCACAUCCUGGGAUUGAUUUGAUAGUGACUGUUCUCACAACAGGAUUCUGGCCAAGUUAUAAAUCAUUUGACCUCAAUCUCCCUGCCGAGAUGGUCAAGUGUGUAGAAGUUUUCAAAGGGUUCUAUGAAACAAAAACAAAACACAGAAAGCUUACAUGGAUAUACUCACAGCGCUCUUUUAUGUUUUGACUGGUGGCAAAUGGAAUAGGAAAAACCAACUACACUAGAUUGCGGUCCAAGAACAAUUUGCAGGAGGCACAUAAUGACUAGCUCCUAUCUCUACGAAUGCUUGUGGGAGGCAUUGCAGCAGCGAAUAAGGAUGAUAACAUGCAGUUGACACCGUAUGUGCUAUGAAUCCGAAUUUCAGGUGUGACUUUUAGAUAUUUUAUGUGCAAAAAAGUAUUAGAGUGUCUUAUGUUUGUAUGUUAGUUAAGCAGAUUAUAGAUAGAACCUGCAGUAGGAUCAACUAAUUAGUUGAUCAAAAGCUACACCCUAUUUUGUAAUCGUCUACUUGCAUAUACUUAAUAAUAAUCUCGUGUCAACUAAUUAUUCUAA